GCAGGUUGUUCAUUUCGAAGGACGAUUGAGAAGUCCACAUAAACGUCCAAAAUUUCCAGGUGGAGGAACAAUGAGCAAUGGAGUCAGUUUCUACAGAAGUGCAUUCCCAAUUGCAAGGGAUGACAAUGGGAAAAACAAGGGUAGGCAAAAGAAAGGUCACUGAAACACAUCUUGACAUGGAUGGAAAACUUGCAAAGAGUUCACCCAAGUUCGGGGCCUUGGUUGUUUUCACCUCUGACGGGAAAGGGAAGACGACAACAAAAGAAACUCCCAAGCAUGGGGCCUCCAAUGUUCUCACCUCUCAUAGUUUAGGGAAGACAACAACAAAAGAAACACCCCCUCGCUAGAGUCGAAGGAUCAUUGGAGCUCUCAUUGCAUGGCCAAUCUGAAGUUUGAUGCCUUGCAUGUACAACUGCUAAUGGAUAAGGUUCAAAUUACUGAGGCUGAAAGUGAAAGGAUGAAAAAACUAGUUACUGAUCUGGAAAGGAGAUGCAUUGAACUCACAAAGAAUAUCAUGGAGUUGACCGAUAAGAAUGUCGAGUUGGAGAUGGAAGUGCAUAAACAACAGAUGCUGACAGAGAAAGUGGAGGUAGCGUGUGAGGUGAUAAUGAAACAAAACAAAUUUUUAGUUGACCAGUUUAAUAACAUGUUGGAUGCAUGUGCGAAAAACAUUGAACAUUGGAAACAGAGGUUCAAGGAGGCAGCUGGUCUAGCAAGCGAUAAAGUUGAUGAAAAGGGCAUGCCUCCUGUUACGGCGAGGAGUGGGGGACUAAAAAAUUUUGUUAAUUAGUUAUCGUUUGCCUUCAUAAGAGGCUUGUUCUUCUAUAAAAAUUAUCUAGAUUAUA